rnacentral:rRNA from 1 species
UACAGAGGGUGCGAGCGUUUGUCCGGAAUUAUUGGGCGUAAAGCGCGCGCAGGCGGUCCUUUAAGUCUGAUGUGAAAGCCCACGGCUCAACCGUGGAGGGUCAUUGGAAACUGGGGGACUUUGAGUGCAGGAGAGAAGAGUGGAAUUCCACGUGUAGCGGUGAAAUGCGCAGAUAUCAGGAAGAACACCGAUACGAAGGCAGUGGGCUGGGCCGGUACUGA